GAACACAUCAACACGCCUGUUGACGUUCACUGGGAAAGGUAUCACUUCACGAUGAGGAGCACACAGCACUCGUGGAGGCUUGUGCCGGGUGAGUGGCUUCUCUCCAGUGAUGCAGGCCACCUGGAGGCAUCGGGCCAAGUGCGUUCUUUGCCGCAAGGGCCAUAUCAAAACAGCAACACCAGCAAUGCCACCAACUCCCGACUUCAAGACAACUGGACCACAUCAGUCAUUCGCCAUAAUUAGUGUCGGCUAUGUCAUCCCCUUCUAUGCACGCCAGGGUCGAGAUCGGUCACAACUCAAAGAGAUAUGUAUGUGUGUUUACAUGCCUGCUGACUAGGGCUUGUCAUUUCGAGGACAACGACGGUUUUGUCCUUGCUCUUAGACCCCGAUUCACCAUGCGACGUGGUGUACCACGAGAGAUGCAAUCGGACAACGGUACCAAUUUCCGUGUGGCUGAUCAAGAGGUAAAAGCAGCUGUCGAGUUUCUCGACAACUUCAGACUAGCAGCAGAAAGGUCAUACCGCGACCUGGUACUUCAAGCCACCAAGUGCACCACACUUUGGUGGUGUGUUCUAGGUAAUGGCCAAGGCAAUGAAACUAGUGCUGCAUGAAGACCUUCAGCUGCUAUUGCCACAACACUUUCUCAUUGGCCAUGCUAGGGCAACUAUUGCUGCUGAAGCGAACACAUCUACAAUGACUCAAGCUCACCCAAGAAAGCGCCGGGAGUUUGUGCAACGUAUUGUAGAUCAGGUAUGGAAACGUUAGCUGAAAGAGAUUGUUCCGAAGCUAAGUAUCCAAGGGAUGUGGCUGCUUCAACAGCAUCACCCUCAGGAGAUAUCGUGCUUGUGAUGGAUAAGCACACCGCAACUGCACACUAGCCACUUGGACGUGUGCUUAUGACCUAUCCAGGUGACAUAAUUCGCAUCUUUUUUGGCGCUACACUCUGCGUAUAUACUGCUCUUGUGUGGCUUCCACGGUAUUCAUUGUUAUUACCUGAUGAUGGCCAAGUGCCGAAACGUUGUAAAAUAACGGAACUGGUUCGGAUGUGAUAUGCAGCGCUAUGGGAAUGGGUGUGUCCACCCGAAUUCUUUUCAAUAAUUAUAACAUUGCACCAAACUGACCGACAGUACUGACGUUCUACAACAAACUGGCUAUGAGCUCUAGCACGUCUUGUAGGUCCUUGGUCCUUUUCUUCCAUCCGAGUUUUCAAAUUCAAGUCUUCAUAUUUAAUUGCCAUUGUUUUUGUCAUGUUUUUCUUCUUGUUGUCUUCGUCUUUUACUCACUCAUGUGAUAUUUAUCACUUUUCUUUCACGAGGGAGAUAUGUUAGAUUUAAUAUCCUAUUUCUGUGUAAUUUACAUGUACUACUGUGUUCAAUGGUGGUGAACCACGAUGCAUUGAUCAUCAUGAAUGCAUGUGACAUGCGUCACAGAUCUGGUUUCUAUUGCUUGCAUUUAUUACGCCUGACUGCUUUCCGCCGUGGAUUUGCAUUCACAACUAAAUGUACAAUUAUUUCUGCAUGGCUACAUGCAUGUACGAUGCAAUGCUGUUAAAAUUUAUGUUGUUGCCUGUUCA